AAAAUACGCAAUACGCUAACCACAAGCUUGCACCUACUGCUUAGCUUAUGCCUAAGCUCUGGCUACAUAGAAAACUCAGCUAUCUAUUACCCAGUAUCUAAAACUCAGUAUCUAUCACUGAGAAAACUCAGUGAUCUAUUAGGUAACACAGGAUGAAAAAGUAGAAUAAAGUGGGGGUCAUGCCAUUCUGCCAAAGCAUUGUCUGCCUAAAUACCUGUCCUAAAGACUCAUGGGAGAGGCAAGCCAAUGAACAAUGGUCAAUGUGGCACCUUGAACCAAUUCAGUCGGCUCUUAACUUCCCAUACAUUUAAUUAAAAUUUUUUUCAAACAAAAAGGAAGAUUCCUUAAAGUAUCAGGUCUCUUAGGGGUUAUGCUAACAGAAGC
rnacentral:lncRNA from 1 species